rnacentral:rRNA from 1 species
GUGCCAGCAGCCGCGGUAAUACGGAAGGUCCGGGCGUUAUCCGGAUUUAUUGGGUUUAAAGGGAGCGCAGGCGGGCGUUUAAGCGUGCUGUGAAAUGCCGCGGCUCAACCGUGGAAGUGCAGCGCGAACUGGAUGUCUUGAGUGAGUACGACGCGGACGGAAUUCGUGGUGUAGCGGUGAAAUGCUUAGAUAUCACGAAGAACCCCGAUUGCGAAGGCAGUCCGCGAGUCCUUUACUGACGCUAAAGCUCGAAGGUGCGGGUAUCGAACAGGAUUAGAUACCCUGGUAGUCCGCACGGUAAACGAUGGAUGCCCGCUGUUGGCGAUACAGUGUCAGCGGCCAAGAGAAAUCGUUAAGCAUCCCACCUGGGGAGUACGCCGGCAACGGUGAAACUCAAAGGAAUUGACGGGGGCCCGCACAAGCGGAGGAACAUGUGGUUUAAUUCGAUGAUACGCGAGGAACCUUACCCGGGCUUGAACUGCAGCAGAACGAUUCAGAGAUGAUGAGGCCCUUCGGGGCUGCUGUGGAGGUGCUGCAUGGUUGUCGUCAGCUCGUGCCGUGAGGUGUCGGCUUAAGUGCCAUAACGAGCACAACCCUUUUCGCCAGUUGCCAUCAGGUGAUGCUGGGCACUCCGGCGAUACUGCCACCGUAAGGUGUGAGGAAGGUGGGGAUGACGUCAAAUCAGCACGGCCCUUACGUCCGGGGCUACACACGUGUUACAAUGGGUGGUACAGAGAGUCGGUGCAUGGCAAUAUGCAUCCAAUCAAUAAAGCCAUCCUCAGUUCGGAUUGGGUCUGCAACCCGACCCCAUGAAGCUGGAUUCGCUAGUAAUCGCGCAUCAGCCAUGGCGCGGUGAAUACGUUCCCGGGCCUUGUACACACCGCCCGU